rnacentral:tRNA from 2 species
GCGGGCGUGGCGAAAUUGGCAGACGCACUGGAUUUAGGUUCCAGCGCCGCAAGGCAUGGGGGUUCAAGUCCCUUCGCCCGCA